ACACUACUCCCUCCGUUCGGAAUUACUUGUCGCAGAAAUGAAUGUACCUAAAUGUAUUUUAGUUCUAGAUACAUCCAUUUUCGAGACAAGUAAUUCCGAACGGAGAGAGUAAAUA
rnacentral:pre_miRNA from 1 species